CAGGGUGUCAUUGCUGGCAAUCCAUUGACUGAUACAACGACGGCCUUCAACGCUCGAAUUCCAUUUCUUCAUGGGAUGGGAAUUAUACCAGAUGAAAUCUACGAGGCUGCUCGUGAAGGCUGUGGAGGAGAAUAUCGCUGGCCAUCGAACUCCCAUUGUGCCAAUUCCCUCCAAGACAUCCAAGAGUGCAUGAGGGGCUUAAACGAUGUACACGUCUUGGAGAAAAUCUGUCCAGAAUAUCCAAGCCUCGCCCUUCAAAAGCAGCCGACGUCGCAGGAUCAUGGAAGAAGAAGGCUAACAGAGUCCGCAGUUUCGUCUCUGUGCAGGAAUGCCACAUACUUCUUGUCCGAGUUGUGGACAAAUGACGAAGCUGUAAGGGAGAGUUUGGCUAUUCACAAGGAAACCGUUCCAUCAUGGCUACGAUGUGAUUUCAAUCUACCUUACACAUAUGAAAUCAGCAGCACCGUUGAUGAUCAUUUAGCCUUGAUUACUAAAGGAUACCGGGCUAUGAUAUACAGUGGAGAUCAUGACAGUAAAGUAUCUUAUGUCGACACCCAAGCAUGGAUCAGACGACUUAACCUGCCCAUCACGGACCGUUAGCGACCAUGGCAUCUGGACGACCAAAUUGUGGGGUACACAAGAACUUACUCCAACAAUUUGAGAUACGCAACUGUAAAGGGUGCCGGCCACACAGCCCCGGAGUACAUGCCAAGGGAGUGUCUGGCUAUGAUCGAUAGAUGGCUUUCCGGUCAACCUCUUUGA
rnacentral:rRNA from 1 species